rnacentral:lncRNA from 1 species
AGAGAAAAACAACAACAACAACAAAAGCAGAUUUACAGAAAAGUUGUGAAGAUGGUGCAGAAAUGUCCCAUAUACCUUUCACCCAGCUUCUCCUGUUGUUAGUGCCUUACAUGAUGAUGGUGUGUCCGGAAUGGGUGGGUUCUUGGUCUCACUGACUUCAAGAAUGAAGCCGCGGACCCUCGCGAGCCCUGCUCUACUGACCCUUCAAUGUGCCCGUGUGCCUAAAUAUUCCUGGUCGUGUGAAAAGAACCCAGGUAUUAGCUGAACUAAGGAGCACAAUUCUGCAACAUUUUGGCACCCAAACACGGGGCUUGAGAAAUGAAUGCAAUUGGAGAAACUGGUUGUUUUACCAGGCGUUGAUUGGAAAUGUGUGCUUCCCUUUAAGCAGUCAAGCUCAACUUGCAGAACUGAUGGGAACCCCUUGGGAAAACUGGCCUCAAAUGUUUGUCUACACAGUCCACAUACAGGGUUCUUAACCUGCGACUGACCCUGCUUGUGCCUGUGAACCAACCAACAAUCUCUGGCUGCAGCUCAGAAAGGACAAAAGAGAAUGGAUGAGGGAAACUUCCCAGGGCUUGUCUGGGUAUGCCCACAGUGGACUGGAGCCCAAAAUGCACACUGGAGGAAGUGGAUGGAGCCACGUGGAUGUCAUGCCUUAUGCAGGGGAGGAGCCUGCUCUCUUCAGCUCCUGUGGUAAUGUGGGAAUCGAUCUGUGAGGAAACACUUUCUGAAAAUGUCAGAACUCUUGAAAACAUGGAUGAGGAAAAGCAUAAGUACUGCUUUAUGCUUUUCUUAUGAAUUUUAAAAGAUGUAAUUUAAAGAUUGAAACUCCCACAACUUUGGCAGACCAACUCCUCAGAAAACAUUAUUCUUUGACAUCAAUAUGUUUUGCACAAAAUUGAAUGGCAAGUGAAAGGCAUCAAAUGCAUAUUUAACUAUCCGGCUAUUUUGGAGAUUGAAAAAAGAAGACCUGAUUUAUCAUGUGCAAUAUCUCACACAUCUGUCAUUUCUAUUCUACCGCAAUUCGAUGGAGUCUUGUUCUGUGGUCCAGGCUAGAGGGCAGUGGCAUGAUCUCGGCUCACUACAAGCUCUGCCUCCCGGGUUCACGCCAUUCUCCUGCCUCAGCCUCCUGAGUAGCUGGGACUACAGGCGCCCGCCACCACGCCUGGCUAAUUUUUUGUAUAUUUACUAGAGAUGGCUAGUGUUAGCCAAGAUGGUCUCGAUCUCCUGACCUCGUGAUCUGCCCACCUCAGCCUGCCAAAGUGCUGGGAUUACUGGCGUGAGCCACCGUGCCUGGCCAGCAUCCUCUAAUUAUUAUUCAUAGUUUGUGAAUUUAGGCCUACGUGAAUAAUAAUAUAAUAUUUACUAUG